CUCUGUCUGCAUCAACCAUAUUUUAAGAACAAUGUUGUUUCACCGUUGUUGAAAAGGACGGACGUCAUCAAACCUCAUCCCACAAUUCAAUGCGAAACUACAGACGGAGCACUCACGCUACUUGCAUCACGUUACUGGGGAGUGACCUUACCAGCAACAUCUGAUCAGCCCUCUUUGAUCUCAAAUGCGUGUCUGAUUUUAAUAUAGUGCAACAAACCAGCAUGAAGUUCAUGCAUCACGUUACUGGGGAGUGGUUUUACUUGCUACAUGUCAUCGACCCUCUUUGAUCUCAAAUAAGUGUCUGAUUUUGAUAUAGUGCAACAAACAUGCAAGUUCAUGCAUCACGUUACUGGGGAGUGGUUUUACCUGCUACAUCUCAUCGACCCUCUGAUCUCAAAUACGUGUCUGAUUUUAAUAUAGUGCAACAAACCAGCAUGAAGUUCAUGCAUCACGUUACUGGGGAGUGGUUUUACUUGCUACAUGUCAUCGACCCUCUUUGAUCUCAAAUACGUGUCUGAUUUUAAUAUAGUGCAACAAACCAGCAUGAAGUUCAUGCAUCACGUUACUGGGGAGUGGUUUUACUUGCUACAUAUCAUCGACCCUCUUUGAUCUCAAAUACGUGUCUGAUUUUGGUGCAAUAAGCCAGCAUGGAGUUCAAAACCCGAUUUACUCAUUUGAAGUAACUGGGUGAAAUCUCAGCCCGUUUUGGCACAGUCACCAAUGUCCGUGCCAAAGAAGUAGUAGAACAUGGCGUGGAAGGACUAUGAAAGUUGUUCCAACUACUACAAUGGUGUAACAGGACUGGCUGCGAUCCCCUAAAUGGAUAACAGGUCAAAAGAUGAUUUAAGUAUGAAAGGGCUUCUACACUGCAAAGGCAUCUGCAAGAAGACUUCAAUUAUACAGUUGUCAAUAAAUUGUUGUGCUCUAUGAUG